rnacentral:rRNA from 1 species
UACUUAGUGACCGAUAGCGCAUAGUACUGUGAAGGAAAGGUGAAAAGGACCCCGGGAGGGGAGUGAAAAAGAACCUGAAACCAUAUGUUUACAAGCUGUGGAAGAGCUUUAUAUGCUCAACCGCGUACUUUUUGUAGAACGGUCCGGCGAGUUACGCUGGCUGGCGAGGUUAAGGACUAAAGGUCCGGAGCCGAAGGGAAACCAAGUCUGAAUAGGGCGCAUAGUCAGUCGGAGUAGACCCGAAACCGGGUGAUCUAUCCAUGUCCAGGUUGAAGUUGCCGUAAAAGGCAAUGGAGGACCGAACCCACAUCCGUUGAAAAGGGUGGGGAUGAGGUGUGGAUAGGGGAGAAAUUCCAAUCGAACCCGGAGAUAGCUGGUUCUCCUCGAAAUAGCUUUAGGGCUAGCCUCAUACGAGUCUUGCGGAGGUAGAGCACUGAAUUCCUAAGGGGGCGUCAAAGCUUACUAAGGGAUAUCAAACUCCGAAUGCCGUGUAGAUGAUGUAUGGGAGUCAGACGAUCCGAGAUAAGUUGGGUGGUCAAAAGGGAAAGAGCCCAGACCAACAGCUAAGGCCCCAAAAUGUGUGUUAAGUGGAAAAGGAUGUGGGAUUUCGAAGACAACUAGGAUGUUGGCUCAGAAGCAGCCAUUCAUUCAAAGAGUGCGUAAUAGCUCACUAGUCGAGAGGUCCUGCGCCGAAAAUGUCCGGGGCUAAAACACACUGCCGAAGCUUUGGAAUUGAGAAUUCAAUUGGUAGAGGAGCAUUCUUAAAGGGAUGAAGCAGUACCGUAAGGAGCUGUGGACUUUUAAGAAGAGAGAAUGCCGGAAUGAGUAGCGAGAGGAAGGUGGGAAUCCUUCCGGCCGAAUAUCUAAGGUUUCCAGAGUAAAGCUGAUCUGCUCUGGGUAAGUCGGGGCCUAAGGCGAGGUCGAAAGACGUAGUCGAUGGAUAACAGGUUGAAAUUCCUGUACUAUCCUGUAACAGAACUGUGGGGACACAGGCAGAGAGCGUGAGCCGGGAAUGGAAAGACCGGUACAAGCGAGGUAGGAGAAGAGUUGGCAAAUCCGCUCUUUAAUCUGAAGACGUGAUGUGGACUGAAAAUAAGUAGGGAAGCACGUGAGCUGACUGUCAAGAAAAGCCGCUAUUGUUUGCAGGAUACCCGUACCGUAAACCGACACAGGUGGAUGAGGAGAGAAUCCUAAGGCCGACGGGAGAAGCAUUGUUAAGGAACUCGGCAAAAUGACUCCGUAACUUCGGGAGAAGGAGUGCCAGUAAGAUGGCCGCAGAGAAUUGGCCCAAGCAACUGUUUAGCAAAAACACAGGUCUAUGCAAAACCGAAAGGUGAGGUAUAUGCUGACGCCUGCCCGGUGCUGGAAGGUUAAGGGGAGAGGUUAGCGCAAGCGAAGCUUUGAACUUAAGCCCCAGUAAACGGCGGCCGUAACUAUAACGGUCCUAAGGUAGCGAAAUUCCUUGUCGGGUAAGUUCCGACCCGCACGAAAGGCGUAAUGAUUUGGGCACUGUCUCAACAAUGCACCCGGUGAAAUUGAAAUACCAGUGAAGAUGCUGGUUACCUGCGCCAGGACGGAAAGACCCCAUGGAGCUUUACUCCAGCUUGAUACUGGGAUUCGGUAUUGCAUGUACAGGAUAGGUGGGAG